AAAUUGCAAGUUUUUAUGUCACUUAUCAAUUAAAUAUUAUUUGCUGCUCUGUGAUUGGAGUUUGGUUUGUCUCCAGAUUGUCAGAGGCUUGUGCAGCAUUAAAAAGGCAAGAGAAGGCGUGAAAACCUAGUCUUUAAUUUUCUAUUUGCAGGACCUGAGGCAAGAGAAGGCGUGAAAACCUAGUCUUUAAGUUUUUUUUGGAAUGUGUGGCCUUUAAGUUUUUUUUGGAAUGUGUGGCAUUUGCAGGACCUGAUGCGUGAAAACCUAGUCUUUAAGUUUUUUUUUGAAAUGUGUGGCAUUGCAGGACCUGGUGCAGAAUAUACAGGUAAUGAAUGGUUUGUUUACUAAUAGAGAUGCUAGCAGUGUCUGCUUGCAGAGGAGAUGCGAAAGAGAUUGAAGCAGCAGCUGUAGAGUGACCGAGCCAGCUGAAGGAAGAAUAAAUGAUGUAAACAGGCAAGUCAAUUUUUGGUCUCGUGGCGUACAAUCUUUCAUGGAUGAGAACUUUCAAGUUGUAGACUACGCAUCAGCUAAUUUUCAAGCAAAUCAUAUCGGCAGGUGUGGGAUUGUGUUCAAGAGCAGAGACAGCGAAGGUGAAAUUUUCAGAAGUUCGAUUGGAAUGUGUAGAUCACGACAAUAGCAUUACUCCUCUUCAAAAGCAUGUAGCAUUAUUUGACCGCAACAAGGACAAGAUCGUUUAUCCUUGGGAAGCUUAUAAGGUACAAUCUCUGGGAUUAUUUUGGUUUUUUAAAUGAAUGAAUGAUCUGGAAUUUUAUGGGAUAUCAAGAAAUUAGAAAUAAAAGAUAGUAUAUUGCAACACUGAGUUUCAAUACUAGUAGUAGACCGAUUAAUUUAAACAUUAUUCUGAAAUAAAGAGGGAAAUCGAAUUAUC